rnacentral:rRNA from 1 species
UACGUAGGAGGCAAGCGUUGUCCGGAAUUACUGGGUGUAAAGCGCGUGUAGGUGGGAGGCCAAGUCUGUGGUGAAAGCGCCCGGCUCAACUGGGCAGAGUCCAUGGAAACUGGUCACCUGGAGGACGGUAGAGGCGAGUGGAAUUCCCGGUGUAGUGGUGAAAUGCGUAGAGAUCGGGAGGAACACCAGUGGCGAAGGCGGCUCGCUGGGCCGGGCCUGACACUGAGACGCGAAGGCGUGGGGAGCGAACGGG